rnacentral:misc_RNA from 1 species
CAGUCGUAACAAGGUUUCCGUAGGUGAACCUGCGGAAGGAUCAUUAACGAGUUCUUGAACGGGUUGUAGCUGGCUCUUUUUUAGGAGCAUGUGCACGCCUGGCUCAAUUCCACUCCUUAACCUCUGUGCACUUAUUGUAGGCCGGUGGAGGCUGGCGCAAGUCAGUUUGAAGCCUUCCUAUGUUUUAUUACAAACGUAUCAGUUAUAGAAUGUCUUACUUUGCUAUAGUGCAAUUAUAUACAA